GUGUAUGAAGAAUUAUAUGUGCUGACUCAAGUGACAAAACACAAGUAUUUACUGCUUCUGGUGUUGCCAGCUCUGCAGAGCAAAGGCAAAGGAGAGAAAGCAGUAAAACCAGUGAGCUUAGACUGGAUAAUUUGAGGUUGGAAUAUUCUCUAUGCAUGUUUUUCCCGGGGAAUUCACACCUUAAGGUCAUUGAUAGUGAAAACAAGCAAUAUGUUUCCUGGUGUUCAACCAUGUGGCACUUCACUAGUCACAAAACACACUAGAUAAGGAGAUGACAGUCUGUGCUGCUCUGAAUAGCAUAUGUGCAUGCCAUCUGAAAGCCAGGAGCCCGAGGACAUGGAUACAGCCAACAGAGGGAGUCAAUGGCAGCAGAGCACUGGCCAUUCAUCCCCUGCUAUGGAGAGAAGAAAAAUGGACAGCUUUGCAUUUAUGGUUGAAGGCAAGAUUUCAGUCUGUUUCUCGUUAGUCCCUAGACAUCGUUUGGAGGCCAUGUGCUCCUCUCCUUUCAAGCUGGAGGUCGCCUACAUGACACAAGUUUGGUCCCAGCUCAGCAGGAGGUGGUGCCCCAUUAGAAUGUCAGCUGUUUUGAUAAAAGUUUGGCCUUUUUAACAAUUUUUAGGUGCACAGGGAAGAUCUGAUCUAUAGCAUUUGCCUUUUUGUCUAUUAAGUAUACCUAUCAACUAACAAAAAGAAGCCAUAACUGCUAUCUAGUUAGAAUUACAAAGUAAAGCCUAGUUUGUGGGGACACCUGCUUGCUCCAUCUUUUACAGUAUAGUAGCAAUGUUUAACAUCUCUUCUGCCUACUUAUAACUCGGUAUCCAACAUAGCUAAAAUUAUGUAGAUCUCAUCAACCAAAGUGGCAUUCCCUUCAGACUAAAAAAGUCCUAGAUCUCAGCACUGGUGAAUAUAAUAAAGAGUCUUUUCUCUUUGACAGAAGCAAGCUGUCACAGUGAUAGUGAAAUGAGACACAGAAGAAAAAAAAUUUCAAAAUAUUCUGAGACACAUUCAGGCAACAUGUAAAUAGAAUAAUAAAUCUGGCAAGAAAGAUCUGUUUAUUUUUCGCACAAAAGGGCUAAGAAGUUGUUUGGGGUUUUUUUUCCAUUUUAAAGCAUGAAUUUCUUUUUCUUCCACCUGAAGUCUGCACAGUAUUCCACAGAGCAGCUGUCCACAGCAAGAAACUCAUCAUUCACUCUCUGAUCAGCACAUACAGUAAGUGACAUGAAACUCUGCUUAAUUCUCUUGUGUCUUCAUGAAAUAAUUUCUUCACCAACUAAAGAAAUCUGCUGUUUACCAUAAUCUCAAUUUAACACCUUCUCUCAGUGUUCAAAAGUAACUGUCUGCAUUUGAAUGGGGUUUGCAAAGCAGAAGUAACUGCCAGGGAAAACUAAACAAGUCUUGUCUCUUCCUUGGAAGUUGAAAAAGGCUUUAGGUUUUUUUAUCACAGUGACAGGCUACAUGGUAAAUAAAGUUUGAGAUCUUUGCUUUGGCCAUUUAAUACAAGAAUUGGUGAGAAGUGAACAAAGCUGAAGGGUGCAAAACUUGAACUAAGCCCGAGUUCCACAUUAAGUCGGUUGUUGGGAGACAAGUGGCACAAGGCCACAGUGACCCUGGGGGGCCGGUUUCAGUGGGACUGGCUGCGGGCGCUGCUCCUCUCUCACAGAGGAAGCCCCUUCAAACUAAUGAGCUUUCAGCUAACGAGCGCCACGGAAAAUAGGCCUUGGGAAACAUUCCACUCCUUAGAAGCUAAUUUGUUUGGUUUGUGUAACAUAGAGAGCGGCUGGGAGGAUCUCAGCGCCAUCAAAGCUGGGAAGGGUCCCACCUUGCCUCGCAUUACCAUGCACAGCAGAGGAUCGCUUGAAAAGGAUUUCCUCAUUCGCAUUGGAAUCAGAUACAAUAUCUUUUAAUCAGCAAUCAAAACAAAGGCCCUGUUAGUAUUGCGAGAUUAGCUAGAUUUCUACAGAUUUGUUCUGAAGUUAAUGAAAUUGCAUCCGAAGGAGACAUGAGAUAUGAAAUGUUCUGCAGGAGUUCAAAGCCUGCGACUGCAGCUGCACUCCCAGCAGCCUGUACAAGCCCUGCAAGCACUUACCUGGGAACCUGUUCUUGAGGAAAACCUCUCCUGCGACUCUCUUCCCCUGACUCAUAGGGUUUGAGGAAAUUCGCAUUUCAAAAUUUAGAAAUACAGUGCACAAUGGUUUCAUGUCAUAGCUGGAUUGAACUAAGAAAAAGCAUUGUGUUGGAGGGUAGGAACCUCUUUUUGUCUUUUGUGUUUAUAUCACUGUGUUGAUUUACUGGAGGUAAAAAUAAUGGUAAUGUAAAAUCCUUGUGUAAUUUUUCUGAAACAGGAUGAGUUUUCACAUGAUGUGAGUAGCAUUGUACUGCUAACUACAAAAUGCUUAGAGGAAACUAAACUAAGUUGAAGGAAUUAAUAUUCCAUCAAAGACUCAGUACUUGCCUCAAUAAGAUAUUUUUAGCAUUUUUGGAUUUUGAUAUAUGUAUCUUUUUUUUCCCAAGAGAACAGGAAAACUACUUCUCUUCUCACCACUUCUUUCAUGUAAGGUUGUUUAUGGCAGACCGUUGCAUUAGGUCAUGUAGCAUUUGAUCCUCUGGAAAAUGAACAAUGUUUUGAAUCAUCCAUAUGUUUCAUCUGCUGCCUCUCUUUGGUCGGGUGAAUGUAAUUUUCCUACCAGUACCUAUGUACGGACCAGGCUUAAAAGCUUUCACAUAAGCCAGGUAUGUACCUAAUCAAAAUACUCUUGCCUGGGCAGAGCUUUCGAUGUUGGAAAUAAUGUUUUUAAAGCAUAUUGACAUAUGCAUUAAAUGAAAAGCACACAUAGUAUUGAAGUGCUCUAUUUCCCUAGAAAAGGAAGAGAAUAAGUCUUAAUUUUCCUUUAGGGCAAAGCUUUAAUAGAAUUGCUGCUAGUUCAUAGUCUUCCAGUUAUUGUUUAAACCCCAUAAGAUACUUAAGGCUUUGAGUGUUUAUACCGAGAAAAGAAAAAUAUGAAUUCAUUCUCAAGCUCAGAUUUGGAGCUAAUAAAGUUAUUCUGAUUUCUAUUAUGUUUCUUGCCUACCAGCGUUACACCUCUUACUAUUAUUUAGCUGAACAGUUUUAGUGUCUUGGGUGCCUUGCUCCUUAUGGAAGUUGGGAAGGAAAAUCAAAGGUCACAAGGAACAUGGAAAAAAGGUAAUUAAAUAAUUGCAACAAAGAAAACAGAAAAAAAGAAGGGGAGCAGGGGAUACAAACAGAAGCUAUUGAAAUGGUUCUCUGCCAAUGUUUUUAGUGUUGUCAUUUAGGUUUGUCUAUGUGGUUGAGUGAUUUUCCUCAGGAAUCUGCUUGUUUUGUUGGUUUUACAGUUUUUCACGAGAUGAUUUCUGAAUUUUUCUCAGAUUUUCCCUGUUCCCUGCAAGAUGGACACAAUUUAUCAUGUUGCCAUUAUCCAUCCCCAGUGAUUCAAGGACUUCUGUGUUUUCUUAGCAAGACAGCCAACUUCUCACAUUAUAUUAUAUGUACUUGUAAUUAAAUCUCAUUUCCCCUCUCUCAUGGCUACCAGACAUUGUGUUUCAAAGUGGGAUCUACAGCAAUUGAAAUUUCACUCCUACAGUUCCCAGUACAUAUAAGCUGCAAUAUCCCAGGGCCUGAGUGGAAUCCCAUUCUGUCAGGAUUAUUUUACUGUGUCAUGCAAUGUGCAAGGACAUGCCAAGCUGGGCAGAAGAGAGGAAAGCAUGUAGCCAUUUUAGCAGCUCCUGUGUCCUCCCUGAUUGAACUGGAAAUUAUUGUGAAUUUUGUGACAAAAUUAUGUGUGGCACUUAUAAUUUGCAAUGUGGUCAAAUAUAUGUGUAUAGUAUGAGUGAAUAAAUAGAAAAUUGAUUGCACCUUUAACUCUGCAAAUCUUAGGAAGCUAUCAAGUUUGGCAGAUGUGUAUUUUAUCUACAGUUGUCAUCUGCUGCAAAACAUCUGGAUUUUAGAGGGUCAGACGUUUAGACAACCUGAGUGUACAACAGAUACUACAGACUCUUUUUAGCUACCUAGUUUGAAAACAGAAGUGUAAGGGCCUUCUGAAACGGUUUGCAAAUCUGUUCUUAAAACAAAAUGGGGUUUUUUGGUGGCUAAAAUGAGUAUCAGUCCUUUUUUCCAUUUGUUCUUGUGUUUAAGAAUUCAGUGAAAGAUACAAUUUUCUGCAGUGCCUUUGCUUAUUAUAUGACUAGGCUUUAGAUAAAUUGUGGUAAUGUUUGGGCUCCAUGUUUGAUUUCUAAGUUUUGAGUAUGAGGUUAUGUACAUCCACAGCUUGUAAGAAGAGCCAGACUGACAGCAGAGGGGUUGAUGUCCUAUGUGAAGCAGGUACAACAUGUUGCCUUUUCACCUUCUCAAUGCACUUCAGUCUCAACACACUCCCAACGUGGAGAGUCCCAGUUGGUUUCCCACAUCCUUCUGUACUUAAAUCCUGGACUGGGCUGGGCAGGACAGUCUGGGUUCCCAUUAGUUCCAGAUGGUGAUUGAGUGGGCAAAACCUGCAAAAUAAGCAAAGUAACUCAAUGAUGUAGACAAAUAAAAUUUUGUCUUGGGCGCUUGCAGGGUCCAAUGAAUCUCCUGCUAACAAACUUGCCUCAUUUUCAGCUUCAUUGAAAAAUGCAGUGAAAUCAGGCUUUAAUCAGGGACAUGAGACAUUAUGGUGCAUAUUUCCAGGUCUGAAAUGAAAAUCUCUUUUUUAAAAAAGAAAAUUAAAUGCUAUUUGAAUUUUCUUGUGCUGACCCUUUAGGACUGUACUGAGCUCCUGCCACCUACCAGCAUGCUCGCCAGGCAGUCUGUACAAAUAUUAUCAUUACUUAAAUAGAGUCUGAAUCAUUACCUUGUGUUUUCACUUUGUAGUGAAGUGAUUUAAAUAUAGUUUUCUUAUGUUGGGAUCCUUUGACAAAUGCAUAAAUAGUUAGCGCAUUGUUAGCAACAGUGAAAAGGAAAUGGAUGCCUGGCAGGAGGAAGGGCAAAUAAUUUUCUCAUGCUUGCUGUGCUCUUUCUGUAGUGUAAAUCAACUCGUCUUCUCUGAAAGUAAAAACUUAUUCCAAGAUGUCAACAAAAGUAAAGUAAUUAGGAAAGGAAAUGUAAUUCCUCUCUGCUGCUCCUCCCUCACACACAUUAGUAAAUGAAAGCUAUUUAAAGACACAACCUGGCAUAGACUAAUUGGAGAUGAGUCAUUUGGGACCUGAUCCUGGAAAUGCUUACUCAAAUGAGUGGCCCUUUGAUUGUUCGCCUGGGUCAGUGUGGAGUGCGUGUGCACGCUGCAGGAUCAGGGAGGAGAAGGGUCAGUCCUGCAGGGUCCUGAGCUCUCCCGAACCAAAGGCUCCUGAGCUGGCCAGCUCCAGUGGGAAGAUGCCUGUGCUUGGAGUUAAAUGUUCUAUUGGAUCACAGCCAGUUUGGUCAGUGUCUACCAGGACUAAACCCGGGAUAUUUAACUUAAAAUAGAAUAGGAAUAUUACUGGGCUACUUUGAUUAAUUAAUCUCAUUUGGAAUAAAAGAAACAACUAGAAAACUGAAACACACCACAAAACUUUCCCAUAUCCACUUCUGCUUCUGGUUCAUGUCUGUCAUAAAAUUAACUACUGUAAUAUGCUUUUUCCACAAUUUAGUUCUCAAAUACUUGGCUGCAAAGGAAGCUGUAAAGCUCAAAGGCGUAUUUUUUCUUAGUGUUAGCAAUUAAUAUGCCACUAGUCUUUGCAUAAAUAAGUUGUCUAUUUUAAAGCAACUCAAAUGGGCUAUUUCAUUUUAUAUGACUGUUAAUUAAGAUGUUGAUUAGCCCUGCUAUUGAAGCAUUGAAACCCUUUCUAAAAGAAAUGGCCACUGUUUCAAUUUUGUUUUAAUUAGUUGGACUUUGAGGUUAUUUACUACAGUGUCAGCUAUCAGAGUAAAGCUAUUUAAUUUGAUGUUCAGUCCGAGGCAGGUAGCACACAGAAUUCCACAUUUGCCUGUAACCACUGCCAUUAACAGCAGUAUGAUUUAAGGUCAUUUAAGAGUCAUCAACCUCACAGAUGGUAAAAUGCGAAGUAUCUAAAAGGGAAAAUAACAAUUGUUGUCUUGUCAAAUAAAAUCCGAACAUUGUAUUUUUCGUGAACACCCACUAGCUUCCAGCAAUUUUAUACAGAAUGUGUUUCCCUUUGGGCGGAGAGUGUUAGGUCUUCCCUUUUAUGUAUCCUUCCAUUGAGACAUGCUAACCCCCUCGGGAGGUGAAACCCACCCAGAUAUUUGUGAUUUUAAAACUUCAUUUGCGUCACUUGCAACAGAGAUGGAUCAUUAUUCUGGGAUAAAAUCACAUCCUGCACAGUGAAAAUAACAGGCAACAUUUGACCUGAAAAGGGAAAAAGGAAAAAAAAA